GAGAGGCAAGCAGUUUGGUAUGCGUCUAGCUUGAAACUAGUUGGAGGUGGUUCGAUUCCAUCGUCUCUUG
rnacentral:tRNA from 1 species